AGUGAACGCUGGCGGUAGGCCUAACACAUGCAAGUCGAACGGCAGCACAGUAAGAGCUUGCUCUUACGGGUGGCGAGUGGCGGACGGGUGAGGAAUACAUCGGAAUCUACUUUUUCGUGGGGGAUAACGUAGGGAAACUUACGCUAAUACCGCAUACGACCUACGGGUGAAAGCAGGGGAUCUUCGGACCUUGCGCGAUUGAAUGAGCCGAUGUCGGAUUAGCUAGUUGGCGGGGUAAAGGCCCACCAAGGCGACGAUCCGUAGCUGGUCUGAGAGGAUGAUCAGCCACACUGGAACUGAGACACGGUCCAGACUCCUACGGGAGGCAGCAGUGGGGAAUAUUUGACAAUGGGCGGAAGCCUGAUCCAGCCAUACCGCGUUGGUGAAGAAGGCCUUCGGGUUGUAAAGCCCUUUUGUUGGGAAAGAAAAGCAGCAGGUUAAUACCCCGCUGUUCUGACGGUACCCAAAGAAUAAGCACCGGCUAACUUCGUG
rnacentral:rRNA from 1 species